UGGUCCCAGCCUUGGAAUCAGUUUUUACUUAAUAUACACAUGCGAGCCUCAACACCCCCGUGAAAACGCCCUUAAAUUUCCCAAAAGAAAUAAGGAGCUGGUAUCAGGCUCAACAGUCAGCCCAAAACACCUAGCUUCGCCACACCCACACGGGCAACAGCAGUGAUCAACAUUGAACAUAAGCGUCAGCUUGAUUCAGUUAAAGUAACAAGAGCCGGCAAACCUGGUGCCAGCCGCCGCGGUUACACCACAGGACUCAAAUUGAUACCUUCCGGCGUAAAGCGUGAUUAAAGAGCCACAAACUAGAGUUAAACUUAAACUAAGCUGUAGCACGCUUGCAUUAAAGAAGACCCUAAAACGAAAGUUACUCUAUUUAACCCAACUUGAACUCACGACAGCUAAGACACAAACUGGGAUUAGAUACCCCACUAUGCCUAGCCGUAAACUUUAAAUUACAUUUCCACCCAAUCGCCAGGAAACUACGAGCUAAGCUUAAAACCCAAAGGACUUGACGGUACCCCACAUCCACCUAGAGGAGCCUGUCCUAUAAUCGAUAAUCCACGCUCCACCUCACCAUUUUUAGCUUUCAACCUGUAUACCUCCGUCGUCAGCUUACCACGUGAGCGCAACCCAGUGAGCCUAAUGCCCAUACACCAAAACGUCAGGUCAAGGUGCAGUAAAUGAAAUGGAAAGUGAUGGGCUACACUCUCUAGUCUAGAAAAUACGAAAAACAUUUUGAAACCCAGUUAGAAGGCGGAUUUAGUAGUAAGAGGAAAUCAGAAUACUCCCCUUAACAGAGCACUGGGGCGCGUACACACCGCCCUGUCACCCCCUUCAAAGCCACAAGUCACUACUUAACCAGCUGAAAGGCUUACCAGAAGAGGCAAGUCGUAACAUGGUAAGCGUACCGGAAGGUGCACUUGGAAA
rnacentral:ncRNA from 1 species